rnacentral:lncRNA from 1 species
CAGAAUCAUCCUUCAUUCUGCGUAAAGGUAAAUUCGAAGAUUUCGCAUUUGUAAGUUUCAUUCGUUAUUCGAAACAAAACACAACUUUGAAGUGGCUUGGAAAUACAAUGAGUCCCGAUCUGUAAUUCCUAUGAUUUUUACUGAUUUUCUGAACUUCUUCUACUUAAUAGUGUAUUCUUCGAACAAAACAAGAGCCGAUCAGUGUUUGCGAUUCACAGUAACAUAUAUACUUUUAUUUGGGAACUGUAGGAGAUGAUGCCGACUCCAACUACAUUGAGGGACCUGCUAUGACUCAGCUGGCGUAAUUAAUUCUAAUUUGCAGAGGUUUUGUCCCAAGUUAUGUAAAACCUAUGAUGACAGUGUGUUGGAUGGUCAUUAGUUGCAUUUUGGAGGAGGUUUUAUGAGUUUUUUUUUCUUUUCCGAAAAAUUAGCUCAUCCAAAAACUAAAAGAAAGCAAUUGAUUAUAUUAAAUAUGAAAUCCAAUUUUGUGUGUGUUGCUCUGUUCUGCAUUUUCCUCAUUUUCGCCCAAACAAUAGAUGCAAUUUCAGAGGAUGGAGUGAAGGAUGGUGGUGGCGAAGAAGGUGCUGCAAGGAUCGGCGCCGCCGAGCUACGUGCGGCGGUGAUUUUGAUUAAG